rnacentral:rRNA from 1 species
UCCAGACUCCUACGGGAGGCAGCAGUGGGGAAUAUUGCACAAUGGGGGAAACCCUGAUGCAGCGACGCCGCGUGAGUGAAGAAGUAUUUCGGUAUGUAAAGCUCUGUCAGCAGGAACGAGACAAGACGGUACCUGACUAAGAAGCCCCGGCUAACUACGUGCCAGCAGCCGCGGUAAUACGUAGGGGGCAAGCGUUAUCCGGAAUCACUGGGUGUAAAGGGAGCGUAGACGGCAUGGCAAGUCUGAAGUGAAAGCCCGGGGCGCAACCGCGGGACUGCUUUGGAAACUGUUAAGCUGGAGUGCAGGAGAGGUAAGUGGAAUUCCUAGUGUAGCGGUGAAAUGCGUAGAUAUUAGGAGGAACACCAGUGGCGAAGGCGGCUUACUGGACUGUAACUGACGUUGAGGCUCGAAAGCGUGGGGAGCAAACAGGAUUAGAUACCCCAGUACC